CCAUGUGAAGAAGGUGCUUGUUUCCCCUUUGCCUUCCGCCAUGAGUGUAAGUUUCCUGAGGUCUCCCAGUCAUACUGCUGGUUAAGCCUGCAGAACGGUGUACUUGUUUGAAAUGUAUCUGGCCCAAUCGCUGAGCGUCCGCGCUGCAUUUCUCCAAACUGCCCAGCAGGGGGCGGUGCUACCUCGGCUCCGCGCAGCCACGGCUUCCCGCUGGCGAACCAAGGGCGCGGAAUCUGGAGAGGGCGAGGAACAUCUUUCCUCCCACCUGUCCCCCGCCAAGCCUGCCAGACCCGUCUCAUCCGUGCUGCUGCUUCUGAAAAUCAGAAGAGUGAGGAUGAAAUAAAGUCUUCAUAAAGGAAAACCA
rnacentral:lncRNA from 10 species